rnacentral:rRNA from 1 species
AUGCCUCUACCACCAACAGGCGAGACGAGGAUUCCGUAGCUGGUUCGAAGAUAGAUUAGCCACACUUCGAACUGAAAACUGCCGACUCCUACGGAGGCAGCAGUGGGAAUAUUGACAUGACGAAGGCUGAUCAGCCAUGCCGCGGGGUGUGAAGAAGCUCGGGUGUAAGCACUUUCAGUGGGGAAGAAAGCCUGGGGCUAAUACCCUCGAGGAAGGACAUCACCCACCAGAAGAGCACCGGCUAACUCCGUGCCAGCAGCCGCGGUAAUACGGAGGGUGCGAGCGUUAAUCGGAAUUACUGGGCGUAAAGCGCGCGUAGGCGGUCUGAUAAGCCGGUUGUGAAAGCCCCGGGCUCAACCUGGGAACGGCAUCCGGAACUGUCAGGCUAGAGUGCAGGAGAGGAAGGUAGAAUUCCCGGUGUAGCGGUGAAAUGCGUAGAGAUCGGGAGGAAUACCAGUGGCGAAGGCGGCCUUCUGGACUGACACUGACGCUGAGGUGCGAAAGCGUGGGUAGCAAACAGGAUUAGAUACCCUGGUAGUCCACGCCGUAAACGAUGUCGACUAGCCGUUGGGCUCCUUGAGAGCUUUGUGGCGCAGUUAACGCGUUAAGUCGACCGCCUGGGGAGUACGGCCGCAAGGUUAAAACUCAAAUGAAUUGACGGGGGCCCGCACAAGCGGUGGAGCAUGUGGUUUAAUUCGAUGCAACGCGAAGAACCUUACCUACCCUUGACAUCGUGCGAACUUUCCAGAGAUGGAUUGGUGCCUUCGGGAGCGCACAGACAGGUGCUGCAUGGCUGUCGUCAGCUCGUGUUGUGAAAUGUUGGGUUAAGUCCCGUAACGAGCGCAACCCUUGUCCUUAUUUGCCAGCGCGUAAUGGCGGGAACUCUAAGGAGACUGCCGGUGACAAACCGGAGGAAGGUGGGGACGACGUCAAGUCAUCAUGGCCCUUACGGGUAGGGCUACACACGUGCUACAAUGGCCGGUACAAAGGGUUGCGAAGCCGCGAGGUGGAGCUAAUCCCGAAAAGCUGGCCUCAGUCCGGAUCGGAGUCUGCAACUCGACUCCGUGAAGUCGGAAUCGCUAGUAAUCGUGAAUCAGAAUGUCACGGUGAAUACGUUCCCGGGCCUUGUACACACCGCCCGUCACACCAUGGGAGUGGACUGCACCAGAAGUGGUUAGCCUAACUUCGGAGGGCGAUCACCACGGUGUGGUUCAUGACUGGGGUGAAGUCGUAACAAGGUAACCAAUCUCUAGAGAGCCCCGUACCAGUACCU